rnacentral:rRNA from 1 species
AGCAGCCGCGGUAAUUCCAGCUCCAAUAGCGUAUAUUAAAGUUGUUGCAGUUAAAAAGCUCGUAGUUGAAUUUCGGGAUCAAUUCGUCGGUCGUGCUUUCGGGUACGUACUGGUGUUAUUGGUUUCUCCCUUCUGACGAACCAUGAUGUCAUUAAUUUGGUGUUAUGGGGAGUUAGGACUGUUACUUUGAAAAAAUUAGAGUGUUUAAAGCAGGCAUUAGCUUGAAUACAUUAGCAUGGAAUAAUGAAAUAGGACGUUCGAUCCUAUUUUGUUGGUCUUCUAGGAUCAACGUAAUGAUUAAUAGGGAUAGUUGGGGGCAUUAGUAUUCAAUUGUCAGAGGUGAAAUUCUUGGAUUUAUUGAAGACUAACUACUGCGAAAGCAUUUGCCAAGGAUGUUUUCAUUAAUCAAGAACGAAAGUUAGGGGAUCGAAGACGAUCAGAUACCGUCGUAGUCUUAACCAUAAACUAUAGCCGACUAGGGAUCGGAUGAUGUUAAUUUUUAAUGUACUCAUUCGGCGCC